GAGAGCCCGCCUCCCAGCCCUGGUCCAUGCCUGGGACCAGAAGUGCGGGGAACCGCUGUUCUCGCUCCCUCCCGUCAAACACUUGCCCCACAAGGUGGCGCCGGAGGGGCUGGACCACAGAGGGCCAUGCGGGCCUUGGCCUUGGUCCUGAAGCCGUAGUUUUGCUCGGUCCAGCUCCUCAGUGUCUGUCCUGCAGCUGGACGGGGCGGCUUCAGGGGCCUUGGCUCCAGUGGAAGCUGCGCUGGACGAGUUGCAGAGGAGGAUCUACCGCCUGGUGUUGGAGGCGCUGCAGGCGGAGCUCCAGCCCCUGUUCGCGGAUCUGCCCUCGCGCCAAUGGCUGUCGAGCCCUGAGCUGCUGGAAAGUGUGUGUGAACGGACGGGGCGCUUCUGCCGGGACUUCUGGCGUGUGCGGAACCCCACGGUUCAGGUGCGCUGGGGGAAAAGGCUGGGGAAGGGGCGGCGCGGGUGAGAGGCGACCUUUACCCGUCUGAUUGCCUCCCCGCAGCUGCUGCUGGCUGAGGCCGAGCGCGCCGUGGUGCUCCAGUACCUGAGCGCGCUGAUGCAAGGCCGCCUGGUGUGCCGCGGAGCCGACGAGAGGGCACAGGCGGCCGAGCGCCUGCGGCACGAUGCUGCCCAGCUUCAGCAGCUUUUCCUCAGUUUGCGAGGACCACGUCUCCGCCCUCUUGGGCCUGCGCGGGGACUUGUCCCGGGAGCAGCACCUGGCCGCGCUCAGCUCCCUGCAGGCUGCGCUGCCGCCGUCGCCCUGCGCGAGCCGCCGCAUCCUCUUCAGCCUCGUGCCCGCGCCCGCGCCCGCGCCGGCCUCCUGCCUGCCCUCGGGGUCCUGCGCCCGAGCCCUGCUGCUCGCAGAAUAAACCACGGCUCCCA
rnacentral:sRNA from 1 species